rnacentral:lncRNA from 10 species
UUAAAAUCAAAGGGUGCUCUUCACUUUAUUUUGGUGGUUCUUCCAUGGACUGAAAACUUUCUAGAACCAGAGUUCUCUUAGUUUCUCCUACUCAAGUACACUGAUGAAUACCCUCCAUUUUGUAGGUAGCUAAUUCUGAGGGCUAAUUUGUGUGAAACACACAGUGCUGUGAGAUAGACAUGAGUAUACUCUCUUUAGUGAUAAGGUGACUUGGCUCAGAGAAGUCAGAUCACUUUCCCAAGGGCAGACAGCUCAUUAAUAGCCAUCAGAAUUCAAACUGUGGCCAACUGAGACAAAGUCCCGUGCUCUUUCCCAUCAAGAUGGCCCCACGACCUGCCUGUGGCGUGUUGUUCAUUAAGUCUUAGAGACAUAGGCUGUGUCAUUCCCGUUUUAAGGGAGAAUCUUACAUCAAGAAAGAAAAAGCCAGGAAGUACAUAUAAAGGUCAGCAUCUCCCUGUUCUAAAUUAAGGAAAGCUAUUCUCAUUGAUCCUUGGAAGCAUGAAUGAGAGCUAUCCCUGAGUCAGUGAGGACUGGCAAUGCCUCUCUUCAGUGAUUCUCUCUAAGGUUGUACUCUUCUUCCCAGCCAUAAAUAAGUUAUGAAGGUAAAAUUUCUCUACUUACCCGGAGACUUUGUAAUAAAGGAAAAAGAAAGAGAAUUCAGACAGACACUACAUUAUCAGAAACAACAAACUGCCCCCUUGUGGAAUUACUGUAUCGUGGGAGCUCAAGAAAGCCACUCAAAUGACAAUUUCUAUAAACUGUGAUUCAGAAUUGGGUUUGAAAUGUUAUGGCUAAGGUAAUAUUAGCAAUAUUUUCUCCUUCAUAUUUUAAGCUGAGUGAGGUUGUUUUGUUUUGUUUUGUUUUGUUUUUGCCUUGUUUGUUUUUUGGCCC